AUCGGUUUAUACUGGUUAUAAUUUUACAUUAUAUAUAAGUUGAGGCUUUGGAUUUCAUUAGCAAAACCUCUAAAGUUUGAUGAAUAUAUUCGAACCUGUUUCUUUAGGUUCUGGAACUAGGAGAAUGUUUCCUAUUUUGAGAAAAAUGAUUUUGAUCGCAUGUUUACUUGUCGCUGUUGUACAUGUGAACGGCGAAGAAAGAGAAGGCCCUUGUUACAAGUGUACAGAAAUAUUCAGGGGUUGCCAAGCUUACUACAAAUGCGAAGGACAUCCCUUUGAGAAAAGAUGCCGGGAGUUUUGUAAUGACCAGUUUACCAGAUGCAUGGACUCCUGCAAGGCCAACCUUACAAUGUUGAAAUAACAAUUCUAAUUAUUAUUAUUUUUUGUAUUUAAAGAAAGACACAGAAAUUUGUACUAAAUACAGUGGUAUUCCUUGUCUAAAAGGAAUUUUUGCCUGUUAAUAAAUAAUAUUUAUGAA